CCCUCUGAGAGUUAUAAGAAAUGAAAGUAGAUUACACUCUGUAUAGUUUUCAAAAUCUGACUCGUAGAACAGGGAA
rnacentral:sRNA from 20 species